UACGGAGGGUGCAAGCGUUAAUCGGAAUUACUGGGCGUAAAGCGUGCGCAGGCGGUUUGUUAAGUCUGUUGUGAAAUCCCCGAGCUCAACUUGGGAAUUGCAAUGGAUACUGGCAGGCUGGAGUAUGGUAGAGGAAGGUGGAAUUCCCGGUGUAGCAGUGAAAUGCGUAGAGAUCGGGAGGAACACCAGUGGCGAAGGCGGCCCCCUGGUUGGAUACUGACGCUGAUACGCGAAAGCGUGGGGAGCAAACAGG
rnacentral:rRNA from 1 species